AAAAUUUUGACCGCAAUACUGUCCAACCUACACAGAUUAAUGUAUUUGGAUGUUCAAUUCCAUUUUUCUAUGAACAAUCCCGAAAUCGCGUUUAAAAUUCCUAUUCAGACACGACAGAAGAAAGAAAUACCAAAUCUUCUUUAGAUGACGACAACAAAGUUAAGAUUAUAGUUCUUACAUGUCACGAAUGAAUAACAUUGUACCAAACCAAGCUUUGAAAAAUUAUUUACAUCAAAGUCUCCACCUAAAUUUAUAAAUUACCUUUACUUAAGAAUCGAAAGACUAACGCAAUUACCCGAAUAAUUUACUAAGAUGUUCGAUAUGAAUUUCCGAUGAACAACGAUGAAAACAAAAUCUAUCAUUUAAAAUUCCCUUUCCGAGAUGUCUGAGAGACAAUGGGUAUUGAACCCGCUUGAGACUGAAGAGAUCGAUAAAUAAUUAGCGGCAAUUCAAGAUCUGUCAUUCCACAAAUGUAUCAUAUACAUGGUUGAUUAAUUCUAGAACAUCUAUUUAUUAUUAUUUUUAUCAAUAUUAAAGUAACAAAAUACUGUAAAUCAAUAUUAAAUAUUUGUCAAAAUUGG